rnacentral:tRNA from 2 species
GGGUCGGUGCCCGAGCGGUUAAUGGGGACGGAUUGUAAAUCCGCUGGCGAUGCCUACGCUGGUUCAAAUCCAGCCCGACCCA